AUACGGAGGGUGCAAGCGUUUCUCGGAAUCACUGGGCGUAAAGCGCGCGCAGGCGGGCUGAUAAGGUGGAUGUGAAAGCCUACGGCUCAACCGUAGAACUGCAUCCAAAACUGUCAGUCUAGAGUGUGGGAGAGGAAGAUGGAAUUAGUUGUGUAGGGGUAAAAUCCGUAGAGAUAACUAGGAAUACCAAAAGCGAAGGCAAUCUUCUGGAACACUACUGACGCUGAGGCGCGAAGGCGUGGGGAGCAAACAGGAUUAGAAACCCCUGUAGUCC
rnacentral:rRNA from 1 species